rnacentral:rRNA from 1 species
AGUGAACGCUGGCGGUAGGCCUAACACAUGCAAGUCGAACGGCAGCACAGUAAGAGCUUGCUCUUACGGGUGGCGAGUGGCGGACGGGUGAGGAAUACAUCGGAAUCUACUUUUUCGUGGGGGAGAACGUAGGGAAACUUACGCUAAUACCGCAUACGACCUACGGGUGAAAGCAGGGGAUCUUCGGACCUUGCGCGAUUGUAUGAGCCGAUGUCGGAUUACCUAGUUGGCGGGGUAAAGGCCCACCAAGGCGACGAUCCGUAGCUGGUCUGAGAGGAUGAUCAGCCACACUGGAACUGAGACACGGUCCAGACUCCUACGGGAGGCAGCAGUGGGGAAUAUUGGACAAUGGGCGCAAGCCUGAUCCAGCCAUACCGCGUGGGUGAAGAAGGCCUUCGGGUUGUAAAGCCCUUUUGUUGGGAAAGAAAAGCAGCAGGUUAAUACCCCGCUGUUCUGACGGUACCCAAAGAAUAAGCACCGGCUAACUUCGUG